rnacentral:rRNA from 1 species
GAUGAACGCUGGCGGCGUGCCUAAUACAUGCAAGUCGAGCGAACAGAUGAGGAGCUUGCUCCUCUGACGUUAGCGGCGGACGGGUGAGUAACACGUGGAUAACCUACCUAUAAGACUGGGAUAACUUCGGGAAACCGGAGCUAAUACCGGAUAAUAUAUUGAACCGCAUGGUUCAAUAGUGAAAGACGGUUUUGCUGUCACUUAUAGAUGGAUCCGCGCCGCAUUAGCUAGUUGGUAAGGUAACGGCUUACCAAGGCAACGAUGCGUAGCCGACCUGAGAGGGUGAUAGGCAACACGGGAACUGAAACACGGUCAGGACUCCUACGGGAGGAAGCAGUAGGGAAUCUUCCGCAAUGGGCGAAAGCCUGACGGAGCAACGCCGCGUGAGUGAUGAAGGUCUUCGGAUCGUAAAACUCUGUUAUUAGGGAAGAACAAAUGUGUAAGUAACUAUGCACGUCUUGACGGUACCUAAUCAGAAAGCCACGGCUAACUACGUG